rnacentral:rRNA from 1 species
AAUCAACGCUGGCGGCGUGCCUAACACAUGCAAGUCGAACGCGAAAGCCCCGCAAGGGGUCAGUAGAGUGGCAAACGGGUGAGUAACACGUGGGUGACCUGCCUUCGAGUGGGGGAUAACGUCCCGAAAGGGACGCUAAUACCGCAUGACAUCCUGCUUUUGAAAAAGCGGAGAUCAAAGCUGGGGAUCGCAAGACCUAGCGCUUGAAGAGGGGCCCGCGCCUGAUUAGCUAGUUGGUGAGGUAACGGCUCACCAAGGCGACGAUCAGUAUCCGGCCUGAGAGGGCGGACGGACACACUGGGACUGAGACACGGCCCAGACUCCUACGGGAGGCAGCAGUGGGGAAUUGUUCGCAAUGGGCGCAAGCCUGACGACGCAACGCCGCGUGGAGGACGAAGAUCUUCGGGUCGUAAACUCCUGUCGAGCGGGACGAACGCUUCGCGGAUGAAUAAUCCGCGGAAUUGACGGUACCGCUAAAGGAAGCCCCGACUAACUCCGU